CUUGGGGAAUGGUGAAGGAUUGGAAGAUAGGUAAUACAUUUACCAACUACAACAUCAAUGAAAUAUAUCGCGAAUUGCUGAAACUUCACGCUUUAAGUAAUUAAUGUAUGGGAAAUUUGUUUUUUUAUAUUCAUUUAGUGAUUGAAUGUUUUUGGUCAAAGUCGUAAUGGCACUUUGGUAAUAGUUAAAUAGUUGAAUGGCAAAAACGUUGGAUUCUAGGAUUCAAGCCCAGAGGGAGACUGCCAAUGCAUUGAAAUGAUAGUUAAUUAAAAAAAAUUGAUAAAAACCCAAUUAUCUUUGUAAACAUAAACAGUUUAACACCUUUCAUUUUUUUAUAGGCCCAUUUUGCCCGUUGAUUUGCCCUUGACCAUCGGAGAACCUGGUUUGUCUGGGAAUGGUUAUUUAAGUCUCCUAAAGCUUUAGCACUGUUGAAUUAGAUUAAGAAACUUAUAUGUUCAUCUCAAACUUCAUAUAAUUAAACGUAUGGUUUGUUUGACCCACUUUUUAUGCUAUCUCUCUGUACUAAUUAUUAUUGAAAUGAGAAUUGACUUGAUUUGGGAAUGCAUAUUAUUAUAAGCUGUAUUAUGAAGGUUGUGAAAUCAUUUCUGUAAGGUGCUGCUGCUUUUAUAAAUUAAAAGAGGUUUUGUAAUAUCGACAUGAUAUUUGGUAUUAUCUCCAUGUAUUCGCAUUUUACGAUGUUCCUGCAAUCUUUAGAAUGGCGUAUGUGCAUAUUUUGAAACUAAAAAACAUCUUACAUUUUAAAAAAGGCUUUUUCCUCGCAAUGUCAGAAAAGCAACUGCUACUCGGUUCACCGGGAAUUCAUGAACAAAACAAUGAAAUUUGAUUGUAUUUUUCUUCGAUACUAUAUUCAACUGACUAGAUACUUAUGAAAUAAAAUAAAAAACUAUUUAUAUCCUUGUGA